rnacentral:rRNA from 1 species
AGCAGCCGCGGUAAUUCCAGCUCCAAUAGCGUAUAUUAAAGUUGUUGCAGUUAAAAAAGCUCGUAGUCGAAUUUCGGGGUCAGUAGAUUGGUCGUGCCACUGGUAUGUACUGGUCUUACUGGCUCCUCCUUCCUGAUGAACCGUAAUGCCAUUAAUUUGGUGUUGCGGGGAAACUGGACUGUUACUUUGAAAAAAUUAGAGUGUUUAAAGCAGGCUAACGCUUGAAUACAUUAGCAUGGAAUAAUGAAAUAGGACGUUCGAUCUUAUUUUGUUGGUUUUCUAGGAUUGACGUAAUGAUUAAUUAGGGAUAGUUGGGGGCAUUAGUAUCCAAUUGUCAGAGGUGAAAUUCUUGGAUUUAUUGAAGACUAACUACUGCGAAAGCAUUUGCCAAGGAUGUUUUCAUUAAUCAAGAACGAAAGUUAGGGGAUCGAAGACGAUCAGAUACCGUCG